rnacentral:rRNA from 1 species
UACGAAGGGGGCUAGCGUUGUUCGGAAUUACUGGGCGUAAAGCGCGCGCAGGCGGCUAUCCAAGUCAGUGGUGAAAGCCCGGAGCUCAACUCCGGAACUGCCAUUGAAACUGUUUAGCUUGAGUAUGAGAGAGGUGAGUGGAAUUCCCAGUGUAGAGGUGAAAUUCGUAGAUAUUGGGAAGAACACCGGUGGCGAAGGCGGCGACCUGGUCCGUGACUGACGCUGAGGCGCGAAAGCGUGGGGAGCAAACAGG